AUACGGAGGAUGCAAGCGUUAUCCGGAUUUAUUGGGUUUAAAGGGUGCGUAGGCGGUUUGCUAAGCGGGAGGUGAAAUGCCGGCGCUCAAGGGCGGAAGUGCCUCCCGAACUGGUGGACUUGAAUGACUCUGCCGUGGGAGGAAUGUGUAGUGUAGCGGUGAAAUGCUUAGGGAUUACACAGAACACCGAUUGCGAAGGCAUCUCACGAAGGGUUGAUUGACGCUGAGGCACGAAAGCGUGGGGAUCAAACAGGAUUAGAUACCCUGGUAGUCCACGCAGUAAACGAUGAUGGCUAACCGCUGGAUCCAUCGGUUCAGUGGCCAAGCGAAAGCGAUAAGCCAUCCACCUGGGGAGUACGACCGCAAGGUUGAAACUCAAAUGAAUUGACGGGG
rnacentral:rRNA from 1 species